UCCACUUGACAAUUUUAUUGCAAACUCCGCGGCGUAUUAUUGAAAGUGUGUGAGGGCCCUUAACAUCUCCCUUACGCUAGUUAUCACAUUUUUUGAUGUGCCUGCGUCUUUUCUCGCCCACUUCACUUCCUUUUGUGUGCUCAAUAUUUUCGUGUUUACGGCGGUUUGUUAGAGAAUUGUCUACAAAGUAAUAGUAUUAGUAACACAAUUCCAGUUUAUACGUGUUUGGUCUUGGUAAAAGGAAAUCCAGUGUUUCUUUAACUAGUCUAUAUUGUUUGGUUCUUUUUUUAACAAUUCGAAGUUUUUAGUUACAGUAAACAUUAAAAUUAAAAAGUUAUGUUUCGACAUUUGCAAAAAAAUCCUUGGAUAUUUCCCGACAAAUAGCCUCUCAUGUUCAAAGCUCUUUGCCAAAUUGAAGAACGAUGUCCAAAAGGACGCUCCUCUCUGCCAAAGAGGGAAAAUCAAAGGAAAUCUUAUGAACUUUAUUAUUCGUGAGAGUUGUCUGAAAACUCCUGUCAACUACAAAACGAUGUGUCAAAUUAUUAAUCUAAUAUUAACAUUUUGGCUACGAAAAUGAAUCUAUCUAUGUAACAGAACUUUUUAACGUAAAUGUUACAAAUUUUAAGACGUCCAAACAAUGUGAAAAUUGCUUCCUUAUCGUGGAUGAUGACAACGGAAUAAUUUUAUAAUUUGGACUAAUAUUUUGACCAGGAUUAUCAAGAAAUAAAAAAGUGUUAUUUUUAGUUUGGCUUGCUUGAUUAUUAUUUUUAUUAUUUAUUUUAGUAUCAAAACCUCUUGGAAUAAUAAUUUAAACGGUAUUAAGAUAAACAUAAAGCAGAGUCUGAAUUCUGAAAUAUUUCCUUGUGAUGAAACCCUUGUGAAUUCAAGCAUUUUCUUACGUAGUCUGACUGUGAGAUGCCAUUGUUUUGCGGGCAACAUACCAAGUCCAAUUGUUCGCAUACUUUAUAAGUAGGAGGUUUGAAUUUCGGUAAUUUACGUGCGUAAAACGUUUUUAUUUGUUUGUUUUGAUCGAUAUAUAUGAGUCGUCUAUUAUCAAAGGUGGCAAUCUGUGCAUUUGGACAAAAAAAUGUUAUUGAUAUGUCAAUACAGAUUGAUUUGAAUAUAAUGGUCUCCUUCAAAGAAUACGGUUCAAAACCUGCAUUAAAUAAAGGUUAAUACUUAACCUGCUAUUUAUCUAAAAUGUCGUUCAGAAGAGUUUUGUGACUGCCAAUAGAAUACAAAGUCAAUAAUUCGUUUUUCUGAUUUACCAAUAAUUGUCCAAAAGUCACAUUGCCGGCUUUGAUAAUAGUCGACUCAUAUCACUACAGUGUUCCAAGUUAUGAUUUUUUUCGACAGAUAGUACCAAAACUUGUAGGUACUUUUCAAUACCUAUACAUUUUCAGUGACACUAAGACUUGUGCUUGUCAAAGUUCACAUUGAAAAUGUUAAUAUACAAUAAAGCUUUUUAUGAGAAUAACUUAAUUGCGCUAAAAGCUUAAUUCAAUAUACCUUGCUGAAUAGCGAGAUACGAAAAAUCCUGCUCAUAAUUAAAUUCUUAAUACCGUCUGUGGGUACAUAAAUUCGCAUGACGUAUAAAUGUGUUAUUUGAAUAAUAUUACAAUUUGGAACCGUUGGAACCUCGAGUUGGCAACUCCAUUUGCAUACUACAACCAUAGUGCAAAAAUGAAGUAGUAAGGACAGCCAGUGAUUUUGUUUUGAAUUUUAUAAAAUAUCAGAAAGCUAAAAUUCCAGAAACAAAAGUAUACGGCCAGAUUCAUAAGUUUUGGAGUAAAUAGCAACAACUUUGCUAUUUGGUUAAUUUCAUGUAUAUCUUUACUUGAUUAAUUUCCAAUAAGCGAAUUAAUUCCAAAAUACAAACAAAGUAAAUGAUGCACGUCAGGGAACUUUAGUUAAUAUCAAAUUACUAAAUCCGACGUUCGUUAAAUAAAUAUUAUUUAGUCUAAUAAUUAAUUGAUCAGAUAAUCUUAUGGUUAAACAUUUACAUGGAAUGCUGUCUUCGAGGAUACAAUAUGAAGCAUAAAUGCUCUGAUUAUAAUCGGGCGUAAUAGGCAUAGCAUAGCAUAAAUAAUACAAAAUGCCUUGUCGCUACUGGAAGUUUGGAUUUCAAAUAAGCAAUAUUAAUACUCGCAUUCGCAGGCACACUAUUUCUUGAAUUUUUAACUAUCUAAAAUAGUGUGGUCUAUAUAAAAUAAUAGAGAAAAGUUUAACAUGAAUAAAUUUUUCUAGUGAUGGCUACAAAAGAAAUAAUCUCGGCCUUCAUAAUAAUUAACAAUAUUUUUUGGCCCGGAUGAAACGUUUGGUUUAUAGCUACCCCAUCUUCAAAAAAGGUCAUACUGACAGUUCCGUGGUGUAGCUGCCACAGAAUUCGUGACGGAGAACAUCUUUGACACCCGCAAGAGAAAUCGACAGAUCUUGGAUGUUGUAGUCGUCCUGAAAAUGUAAAAAUUGGAUUUAUUUAAAUUUUAAUAAGAAUAAAUUUUAAAGUUUUAAUAAAA